UUCUCUCACUCCUCAUGCCUCCACAUCAGCGGCCAGCUAGAUAAGUCGCUGCCUCUCAUCGCGACACGUCAGCCGACGAAACACGUCGUUUCAUUAAUACGGAAAUCUUGAUGGGCUUUCAAUUUGAGGCCUAAAGUCGCAUGAAGACAUAAAGCCUUGCCAGUAUCAAACCGCUGCGUUUUUUUUAUCAGGGUUACAAUGGCUUCAUAUGAAUCGGCUCUUGGACGCGUCGUUUAGGGUUCAUACAAAUCAGCCGUUUUCGACAUUAGAGAGAUUGUGAUUGUAGAUCGUGAUCAAGUCCUUUCGCCUUUCGUCAUAUGAAAUGUGUGUUAAGCUUUGUAAAAAGCGGUGCUUCCACAGUAUAAAUAGUAUCUGAGGUCAAGAAUCUGAAGCGAGGUGGUGAACUCAUGCGGCUGAACCUGCUCAUAGUCGAUUUGAAUGUCAAACGUGUUUUAUAUCGCUUGGUGCCAGAGACACUGGUCUCACACCAGCAGCACCACUCCUGAGAGAGAUUGCAAAAGUCGAGCCCGUAACCGUAGCUGAGCUCAAUAGCUUUGUCACCACUGCCGUGUCUAAGGAUAUUGAGUUCAUGUGCACCGGCACGGUUAUCCGGCCCGAUUCAGAGAAAGGAUGGUGUUACGUUGCUUGCUCUAAAUCUAGCAGGAAGCUCAAGCGCACUGAAUCUGCCUUUACAUGUCUACCGAAUGGAGCUUACAAUCGCUGAUGACACUGAUGAAGGUAUCUUUGUUUGUUUUGAUGGUGUAAUGACAAAGCUACAUGGUCUCA